rnacentral:lncRNA from 1 species
UCUCUCUCUCAACAACAUUAAUUUUCUAACUGAUCAUUUCUGUUUUUCUUUUCGGUUUAAUCAACAUGGAGUUGCAGGAAGCGACAUCACUACCUGAUCAGCUAGAUGAAGCUACCAAGUACAUAAAGAGGUUACAGACAAACUUGGAGAGAAUGAAGGAGAGAAAAGAGAGGUUAAUGGGAAUUGAAAAGCCUGAUGCAGCUGCAGCCACAAGCAGCAGUGGGAAUAGUAGUGGAACAAUAACGACCGGGUUAAGGUCACCGCAAAUUGAGAUUCACGAAAUGGGUUCGGCUUUGGAGGUGGUUUUGACAACUGGGUUGGAUUUUCAGUUCAUGUUUAUUGAGACUAUUCGCUUGCUCCACGAAGAAGGUGUUGAAAUAGUCAAUGCCAGUUUCAAUGUUGUUGAAGAUACCAUCUUUCACACAAUACAUUCUAAGGUAUUAUUAAUUAAGUUGCACAAACAUAUUACAUAUAUAACAAUCAUCUUUAGGUUUUCUAAUUAAGAAUGUUUCAGUGGUAAAAAUUUCUUUUGGCUGUUUAAAUUGUGAAGCAGAUUGGAGAUUCUGGGUCGGACCAUGAUGCUUCAGCAAGGAUAUCAGAGAGACUGAAGAAGUUUGGCCAAGAUGGUAGUGCAUUUUGAAGUAUACGGUAAGAUGCAUGAUUCCUUUUUUAUGGAGGAAGCAUGUAAGGUUCAUCACUCAAUAUCUUUGCAUCAAUGUGAUCUAGAAACCUAAAUGCUCUAAUUAAAAAGUGUGCCCAUUGAGGAUUUUUUGUUCUUAGUAGUCUUUCCAUCUUGGUUUUUGUGUAGAUGCAGUUGAAAAAAAGAACUGUAUUUGACUGUCUAGCUAUCGACACAAUAACCCUAGGUAAUUAAAGUGUGAUUAGAGUUCUGUGUGUUAUUAAUUAAUUCUAGUUAAACUACGGCUAGUGCAGCAGCUUUUGAAUAUUUCAUCUGGUAAUGUGUUCAGACGACUAUUUGCUUUCAAAUGCUACGAUAAUUGCUUGAUUAAUAUUGGAUUACACUUAGUUGCUUGAUUAAUUUUGGGUUACACUUAAUUUGAUGAUCAUAAUGUGGAUUUGAUAAAGCUAGCGUUAAUUAUUUAUGCUUCUGCUGGUUAUAUCUUAUUGGCUACAAAUGGGCACAUUUGAUCUGGUCUGUUUAGAUUAAUAUAUAAAAAUCUUGACCUCUCAAUGUUCCUUGUUCAUCACAUGUUGACUUUGACAUUCCUUCCAUUCUUAUAUUAAAUAGCUAGAUUAACAUGUAAUGUUUACAUACAAGUACAGCAUGUAUCUUCUAAAUUGUUAGAGGAGAUAAUCAAUUUGGUUGCGACUUUUGAAUUUGAGAUUGGUAAUGGAAAAUCAUGUUUGUAUUCAACUUAUAUAUACAAUAGAUAUAUAUGGCUACUAGUUUUGAAGACUUUAGCAAGAUGAGUGGCGACUGGCAAGAGUAUAAAGAUCUUCUAAACGUGUCAAAUUGUUUGUAAAAUUAGAUACACUUUUUUUUAGGUGUGAAAAAAUGAGUUUUUUUUUUUUGAAAGAGUGAAAAACUGAGUUUAUUUCCUUCUUCUUCCCUUUUUUUUGCCCUUUCUUUUUCCCCACUUCAAAGAUGAUUGAUGACUGGUCAUUUAUAUGUUUGAAGCAGUCAAUAAGACUGACAUGGGAUGAAGUCAUGAAGGGUAUUGAAGGGAUAUGUUGUUGAAGGAUUGCACGCAUAAAUAUAAUAUUUGUUUCUUGCGGGUCCAUUUCCUCAUGAGGCCAUAUUUGCAAUUUAAUUUUAGAGCAUAAAAGAAUUUUUCAUGAUCAAAUAAAUCAGAAAGUAGAAAUUUAAAACUAGUAUUGAUUCUUCUGAGCUGAGGAAAAUAUUUAAGUGACAGAGAAUAGAGUUUAAAUUAUUUUUUUUUUCCUCCUCAACUACUUGUGCUAGAAAAUAAAUAAAGUCUAAGUCAAUCUGAACACAAUAAUGUUUACAGUUACAUAAUUUGUAUUUAACUAAUAAUAUCACUAGACAUCCCAUGUUGAAAUUAAUUUAGGCUUUUUCCAGUUUUCAAACCAACAGGACCCAUCCCUCUUUGCGUUGUAGUGGUCUAGUUACACAACAUGUACUGCUCAUCUUUAUAUAUGCUAUCAUGGUAAUUUGGGUGCAUUUGGCCUGCCGGAUUAAAUUAGAUAUGAUAGUAUUAGGUUAACUAGGAUUGUACUGGAUAUUAAAUAGCCAGAUUGCUAGAACAUGCAAUGUUCACAAGCGACUGCAUGCAUAUUAUUCUAAAUCCUACACUUUAGAAUUUGAGAUUGGUAUGAGAAAUCAAAUCAUGUUUGCGAUCAGCUUAUAAAACAUAUAUUAUAUGGCCACAGAUUUUGAAGACUUCGGGAAGGAAGAUGAGUGACAACUAGCAAAAGUAAAAGAAUAUUCUAUGUCAAAAUUGCUUGUAAAUUCAGAUGCAAUUUGGUUUAAGGUGUGAGAGAAUGAGUUUUGCUUCUUUAUUAAUUUCUUCCUUUUUAAUUAAACCGGUCGAAGAUUAUUGAUGUCUGGCCAUAUGUUUGCAUGUUAAAAGCGCUAAUGCCAGUCUUCAGACAUAAUUGCAUAUUAAUUGAUGUAUUAAUGAGAAGAAACAUUUUAGUAAUAAAGUCAAUUAAUAUUGCACGUAGAGGUUUAUUUCAUCAUAUUAUGUACAACAGAACAGAAUAAUGCAUAAAGGGCAACAGUGUAUGUUUCCAUGCGAUGCUAUAUAUAUAUAUAUAGAAAAAGAAGAAAAAAAAAAAAAGGUGCCACAUGGUUACUGUUUUAAUUUUCCUUCAAGUACUUGUACUAGAAACUUAGAAAGUAAAAUAAAAUGGAGCGUAAAUCUGAAUGCAUUGGCUUAUAUGAUUAUGGCCAUAGCAGAAGAGACCUCCUUCCUUAUCCACUCAUUUUGUGGCUCCAUCAAUUCUAGUGCUGGUAAUCAGUAAUCAGUAAUCAGUAAUCAGUAAUCAGUGUAGAUAAUAAAUAAAAGCAUAUUACCCAGUUUUGAGGCACGCAAGGCUGCUUCGAGUUUUCAAAUCAAUGGCGGGGUUGGUGGGAUCCAUCCCCUGUGUUGUUGUGGUCAGGGUUCAAACUUCAAAAUGUUUAUCCGUACGCUACGCAAUUACACUACGACACUGCUCAGUGCCAAGUUUAGGAGAGAGAAAUACUUAUAAAGUAUUACAAUUAACCAAUGGGGGUGGGCGUUGGUUAGGAUCGAUUUGGUUUUGGAAUAAAUUUUUUAUUUCGGUUCAAUUCGGGUUUGAAAUUUUAAAAACAAAUCAUCCAGUCUUUAAGGAUAAUAAAAAUAGAAUCGAAAUUAAUAGUUUAGUUUGGUUCGAUUUCUCAAUUUUUCAGUUCGGUUUUAAUUUUUUAGUUUGAUUUUGAUUUUUCGGUGAUGGUUUAAAUUAACAAAUUAAUUUUUUAGUUCGGCUUAACUUGCACACAAGAUCUACUACGAUCCAUGUAUAAUAAACAAAAAUAAAUAAUUUACAAAUUAGUAUUCAUGAAAAAAAAAUUGCAAUCAUUUUCAACUAUAAUAAAGAAUUUUCGUAAUUAUUAUGACUAUCUUUAAUAUAAAAACUUUUGGACUAAAAUUUAAAUAAAAUAAAUUAAGUUUCCAUGCCAUAAUUGUUUUAUCAAAACUUUAGGGACCAUAACAAUAUUUUACCCAACAACUUCCUUUCAAGGACCCUCUUAAAAAGUUUACAAAAUAUAUUAGGGACCCUCUUUAAAAGUUUGCAAAAAAUAUUAGGGCAUAACAAAAUUUCUACAUGCAAACAUUCCGUAAACAUUGGAUGAUACUAAAAUUUUAUAAAGGAUAGGGAUCAAAAUGAUAUUAUCGAUUCAGUUUGAGUUUUGUUACUCUCGGUUCAAUUUCAAAUGGUUUGGUUCGGUACUUACACAUUUUUUUUGGCUUUAAAAAAAUUGAAUCGAAACUGAAAACAACCAAACCAUUAUGCGUGUGUGUAAUUAAAUUUAAUAUAACCAUUAUUUGUAUGAUGAUUUUUUAAAAUAAAUACGCAUAUGUCAUAGCAUCAUUUACUUGUUAUAUUUCUGAUAUCAUACCUCUAAUUUAUUCUAAAAUUUCUCUAUCUUUAGAUAUAUUAACAAUAUUUUAUCAAAGACUUUCAACCGGAAUAAUAAUAAUAAUAAACAACUAAAUACUUAUAAUCUAUAAAUGAUAAUAUUAAAAAAAUAAUAUAACCACACGCACAAACCUAGGUGUGGGCGCAGGUUUGAAUUGACACAGGCUGACACGCGUAGGGAUGGUAAAAUAUGGGUUCGGGUGUGGGUUUAGCCUUUUCAGAUCUGAAUCCGGACGCAUAUUUUCUAUACCGGACCCGGUAAUAAACCCGCCUUUUCCACUUUGGGUCUGGUCCGGGUUCAACCCGGGAAAAUUCGGGUUCCCGGAUUGCAGGUUUUCAACCCGAAUUGAUGAAUCCAAUUGAAAAAAAAAACUAAAUUCAAUUGAAAAAUCAAAUAGAAAUACAAAUCCAGAAUUUCAGCAAAUCAAGUACAAAUUUAGGUUUUAAACAAACCAAAUACAAAUCAGCUCGUUCAAUUCUUGGUUCGAUAUCAUCAUCAUUAUGAGUAAUGAUACAGCCACAAACUCUUGUACAAACUUAUUUUGUACAAACUGACGUGGCAUUAAUUCAUUGGUUGAAUGAAAAUAUAUAUUAAUAAAAACAAAUCAUGUGGGCCAAGUGAUAUUUAAUUCAACCAAUCUUAUCAUGCCACAUCAGUUUGUACAAAAUAAGUUUGUACAAGAGUUUGUGGCUGUAUCAUUACUCCAUCAUUAUUAUUGCAUUUAAAUCAAAUCGAUCACAUUUUCAGCACUUUAAUCUAUUAACAGCAACAGCCAAGACUUUCAGUUUUCAACCUAUGAGUAGUUCUCCAAAUUUGUUGAGUGGUCGUUUUGAACCCUUCGCAACGGAUUGCCUUAUUUGUUAAAACUUCCUCCACCAAACGCUGUUCUAAUCUGUGUACGCCAGCAUCGUGUGCACUCCUCUCAAUAGCAACUACCUCGCCUUCUUCCUCGGGAAGAGAAAGGGCAGUACAGAACCGAUGUAACUCCUCAGAGUCCAUGCAGAGAACAGAUGAAAGACAGAAAGAGAAAGUUGAGAUGAGUAGGCGAAAGAGAGAAGAAAGUGAAAGCACUCCGGUUGAGUGAAUAAUCACAACCAACAAUUAAAAAAUAUUUCAAAAUUAAAUAAACUAUAAAUAAUGAUGAUGAUGAACAGCCGCAUCACUGUUGGUUACUGGUCGCGCCAAAGAAGACAAGGAAACAACGACGGGUGAUUAUGAUGAUGCACAGCUGCGAAGGUGAAAACGAUGAUUUGAUGAAAAUGAGCUAAAGAGGGACUGAGAGAGGAAAUGGUUGCUGCGGCUGUGAAAGUGUAAAUGAGCUAGGGCACCAUUUGGGCUUUUUUUUUUUUUCCUAUUUAUAUUAAAAAUAAUUUUAAAAAAUUAAUAUUAAAAUUAAUAAAUAUCCAGGUCCAGAUUCCGAAUAUACGGGUUCACCUGAACUUGAAACCGGACCUGGAUAUAUGCGGGUUUUGAAAAUGGCAUCCGGAUAUUGGAUUUAUUUAAUCCGGUACGAGUUGAACUCGAUCCGAAAAAUCCAGGUUUCGUCCGGGUCCGAGUUGAAUUGCCAUCCCUAAAUAGGCGUGACUGGUCAUUUUUCACUUCUCCACACCCUCAUCGAUACCCAUAAAUAUUAGGCUCAAACUUUUUGUUGAUUUAGUUUGAACAUUACGAAAAAUAUUCAGUUUGAAGGAAAUCAUUAAUAGAAGGCUAAUUAAUAAUAGCACACAUACAAAUUAGUUAUGUCUACAAACUAGUAUACGCAUUAACUAAUCUGUAUGCAUCCAAUUGAUCAACUGUUUUUAAUUUAGUAUUAAAAAUCAACAAAUUAAUUUGUAAACUAAAAUAUUUAAUCUUUUGUUUCACUUACCGAUUCAAAAAUGUCAACAAAAAUUAAUUACCUGUAUAUGGUUGCUUGAUGCAGUAAUGAGGCAUCUCCUACAUCAUGAACCUAAUUAGCUUUUAAAAACAUUAGAACUUAAGCAUAUCUAAAGAGAAAAUAAAAUUUAAAACAAUUUGCGCACCUCUAACUUAAAAAAUAAAUAAAUAAAGUACUUUUAAAUUAUCAAAAUUUGAAACAGGCAACUUAAGUUUAACCAAAUAAUAUGGAUUUUUAAUCCAAAGCGAUGUGAUUGGAUUUGGAUGGUAGUAUUUUAAAUAACUCGGGGUGUAUUUCAAAAUCAUGGCCACUUAUCAAAUGGGCCAAUAAGGGCUGGGUUCGGUUUAUGUCGGUUGGGUUCACUGGCCCAAGUAACACACCCUACACAUGGUACACAAUCUCAAGUAGGCAAAAGGCAAGCUCACAAGUUGAAAAACGGGUUGAACUGGCACUCUUUUAUCUGAUUAUAUUAACUUCAACGUCACCGAAAUCAAAACCCUAGCUUUUUCACUUCAGUCUAAUCACAAUGGUGAGCGGCGAAUUUGAGAUCGGAGCCGUUCCAUUCAAUCCUGACGGCUGGGGCCCACCGGAAUCAACGGCAACCACAACCGCUGCCCUCCCUCUCCACGUGCCGUUUGCCCCCUUCUCCCGAUCGGAAAAACUUGGUCGGAUCGCGGACUGGACCCGCAACGCAUACAACAAUCCAUCAAACCGCCAAAACGCUAGCAAAAAUCCGGCCGACACCGUUUUCGACUUCUCCGCCGACGAUUCCUUUCCUCUGUCUGUCAAUCCCGACGACGACUCCUCCUUCCGUCUCGUGGACGGCAAGCCUCCACCGCGUCCGAAGUUUGGCCCUAAGUGGCGGUUUAAUCAGCACCACCGUCCGCAGUUGCCCCAGCGCCGCGACGAGGAGGUGGAGGCCCGUAAGCGCGAGGCUGAAAAAGAGCGGGCCCGACGUGACCGCCACUACAACCUCAACCGCUCCAACGUCAACCAGACCCGACGUGAAGCUGCAGUUUUCAAAUCCUCUGUCGACAUUCAGCCUGAAUGGAACAUGCUCGAUCAAAUUCCCUUCUCAACUUUUUCAAAACUUUCCUUCUCUGUUUCGGAGCCUGAAGACUUGUUAUUGUGUGGGUCCCUUGAGUACUACGACAGGUCGUACGAUCGUGUCACGCCGAAGAAUGAACGUAGGCUCGAGAGGUUUAAGUACAGGAACUUCUUCAAAGUUACUACCACUGACGAUCCAGUGAUUCGUAGACUUGCUAAUGAGGAUAAAGCAACGGUUUUUGCAACGGAUGCAAUUUUAGCAACGCUUAUGUGCGCGCCCAGGUCAGUUUAUUCGUGGGAUAUUGUGAUUCAACGAGUUGGGAAUAAGUUAUUUUUUGAUAAAAGGGAUGGGUCACAGUUAGAUUUGUUAUCUGUUCAUGAGACGUCUCAGGAGCCUUUACCUGAGGCUAAAGAUGAUAUAAAUUCUGCUUAUUCGUUGAGUGUUGAAGCAGCUUAUAUUAAUCAAAACUUUUCACAGCAAGUUUUGGUUAGGGAUGGUAAUAAGUUGACAUUUGAUGAGCCUAAUCCCUUUGCAAAUGAAGGAGAGGAGGUAGCUUCCGUAGCUUAUAGGUACAGAAGGUGGAAGCUUGACGAUGAUAUGUAUCUUGUUGCGAGGUGUGAGGUGCAGAGUGUUGUGGAUGUUAAUAAUCAGAGGUCGUUUUUGACGUUAAAUGCUCUUAAUGAGUUCGAUUCCAAGUACUCUGGUGUUGAUUGGAGGCAGAAGUUGGAGACUCAAAGGGGUGCGGUUUUAGCCACUGAGUUGAAGAACAAUGCUAAUAAGUUGGCAAAAUGGACUGCACAAUCGUUGUUGGCGAGUGCUGAUUUGAUGAAAUUGGGAUAUGUUUCAAGGGUUCAUCCACGUGAUCAUUUUAACCAUGUGAUAUUGGCUGUGAUGGGGUAUAAGCCAAAGGAUUUUGCCACCCAGAUUAACUUGAGUACUGCAAAUAUGUGGGGAAUUGUGAAGAGUAUUGUGGAUUUGUGCAUGAAGUUGAAUGAGGGGAAGUAUGUGCUUGUGAAGGAUCCAUCUAAGCCGCAAGUGAGGAUCUAUGAGGUUCCCCCAGAUGCAUUUGAGAAUGAUUAUGUGGAGGAGCCUUUGCCAGAGGAGGAGCAGGUUCAGCCACCUACUGAGAAUGCUGAAGGAGUGGAGGCAAAUGGAGCUGCAAAUGAUUUGGAUGAUGUUGUUGUUGAUGCUCAAGCUUGAUGGUAAUAUUCGUUAUUAUAUUUUAUUUAUUUUGGUUUAGCGUUUGCACUUUAAUGAGUUGUACUCUUUUAGCUACAUGUCUUCUAUAACUAUUGUUUGCAUUAAGAUUUGUAGUUUUUGUAUCUAUAAUAUAUAUGUCAAGGCAGCUGAAACAUGGUUGAUGAAUUUUUGUGGUUAAUGCUGGACAACAAUACUGAAUUCCAAGGUCAAGAUACUGGUUGUGAUAUGUUGAAUAUAUGUGAGAUGAGCUGAGAGGUUCCAGUAGUGUUUGCCUAUUUUGGCUUCUGCAUUCUAGGCAUGGUCCUUUUGGCAUUUCUGGGUUCCAGUAGUGUUUGCCUAUCUUGGCUUCUGCAUUCUAGGCAUGGUCCUUUUGGCGUUUCUGCGUUCCAGUAGUGUUUGCCUAUUUUGGCUUCUGCAUUCUAGGCACUGUCCGUUUGGCGUUUCUGUCAUGCUAAGGAUUGAUGAGUUAAAUACUAGUAUGUCUCGGUUUCUUGCCUUAGCAUGCUGGGACUUGUUGGCCACUAGAAAAAGAGCACAUGAAAUAGGAACUAAAAGAAGAUCAAAGAAAGGACAUGAAGGGAUUUCUGUCCCUUAAUUCCAAGAGCAGAAAGGACAUAAGGACUGGGAAAGAGUGAGUUGACUCUUUUGUCCUAUUACUCUGGGAUUAAGGUUGUUAUGUAACUUUUAUUAGUGGUGGCCGUUUGGAAUAAGAAGAUCCUGUGUUUCUUCUUAAAACUCUAGGAACUGAUUUUUUUAAUUUCCUUGACUGAAUACUUCAAAUGCUUGAUGUUUAGGAUCAGUGAUAAGGAAUGCGUAAUUUUUCUCAGCGGUUAGUGAGAUAAGCAACUUAUGGCUCAAUUACUUCUCAAGCUGAAAUUGUCCUUUUACUCUAUUGCAAGGUUUUGAAGGUGAUUCAAGAAACAUAGUUCUUUCUUCGGAUCAAAACUUAAAAUACAAAGUAUAGAUAGAACUUCCUCUGUAAUCUUGAUCUUGGGGCAACAGGAUAAUUGUGCUUCCUGGCUGAAUUUGUAACUUGCAACAUGGCUACUAUUUUGUUUCCAUUCAUAAAAAACUAUGCUGUCUCAGUAUCUUAAAGAUUUAAUCAACUCCUUAAUUUUCAAUCGAAUAUCUUCUUCAGUGGAGUCCACUGUUUCUGUUAUACCUCCAUAUUGAACUGUUUAAUCUUCUUAAAAGAGAUAAAGUGAAGGUACCCUGUUUCUUCUUAGGAUGUAUCCAACACUGUUGUUGUCUGUGGGCAACGGUUAUCUUCUUAACGGUGGCAACUAAUGCAUUUCCUACUGCAUCCAGUUCAUUGCAGUUGGUAGAUUCUGAUUGUUUUUGCAUAUUCAAGCACACUGUUCUCACUGUAUCACUUCCCUCCAUUGUUAACACCUGGUAGCUUGUUACACUCUGACCAUUCCUUUAAUGGCUUGACCACUUCCUGAUCUGAGUUUAGAUUCAUUGUAUUAUUAGUUGUAUUAUGUGAAUUAGUGCGAACUUUUUGAUUUGCAAAAGGUUGCUCAACCCUGUAGCGGAUUUGAAUUGCUGAUUGCUAAAUUACGAUUUGAUGAUUACAGGUCGAAGUCUUUUUUUUUCUAAAAACAGAUACCUGCCAGUGAGUGGUUUGCAUCAUGACAGUAGCAGACUAACAAGCUGAAAGGAUUCUGGCCCUUUUUGACCUGAUGUUUUUGAUGUUGUAAGUCAAGCAGCAGAAUACUUCAAUUAUGAUAGUGUAUGGUGCCCUUUGGAGAUCAGUGGUUAUAAUUAGUUGCCAUGACUUUUGUUGCUAUGGAUAAUGGAACCUUGUCUACAAUGGUUUUCAAGGUUUGAUGAUUAUUUUUUUUCACUUGUUUUGAAUUUUAAUUAUGAUUGAUUAUCUCUUGGCAUUGUCAUGCUUGACUUCAUUAAGGAUAAACGAAGUGAACUUGCUAGAUUGGUGGUGAUACUAUUAUUUAUUAUCUUGUUAUAUUGGCUGGCUGCUUUUGCCUUGUCAUCUCUUGUCAUACUUUGCACUUCGCCACAAAAUGGAUUUUACAGUCAAGACUAACUCAAGGCCGAUAUAUAUGUGUGUGUGUGUGUGUGUGUGUGUGUGUGUGUGUGUGUGUGUGUGUGUGAUGUUUCCCUGCAUGCGUUUUUCCUUGCAAGACAACGCUAGUGUGGGAAGUUUUUCGAAGUUGGACCAUUUAACAUUGGCAGCACAGAACUUGUUACCUACACCAAUUAAUCUUUGGAAGAGGAAGGUUGUGAAGGAUCCUGUGCGUAGAAGAUGUCAGAAUGAGAGAUCUCUUUCAAAACUGAACACAAUCUGAACCUUAAAUCGGAGUGGAUUCUGAUGGGAUGAAUAUUUCAGAUUAAUUUGGGGGGACGUCGAUGUGGUUACCAAUUGCCAAAGAAGGCUAAGAUUGUCUAGCCAAAUUGUGGGCAAAAGCAGAAUAAUAAGAGCAAUAUUGACAACAAAGCAUUGAUUUCCACCAAGUGUCAAUCCUUCAAGUUUAAUUGCCAUGUCUGGAAAAAGAUUCUCCUACUCCUCUCUUUCGAAGAUCAAGAAUCAAUUAGUAGAGGUGUAUGUUCAUGACAUACACCUUCUUCCCAGAGGCUCGGUGCUGGCUGGUUCGGGAGUUGAUGUGGGUUUGGGGCUGCCGACUACGUUUGUGGCUGCGGGUUUGUGAAUCUGGUCAACGAUGUCAAUGCGGCUGGGUUCGUGGGUUUCGUUGGGUUCGUAGACUUUGUCUAAGUCAAGUUGACAAGUUCUUAUCCGAAUCCGAUCCAAUGCCUAGUCCUAGUAAGCAUGCCAAAAAGGUAUGGAAACUGACCGCUUUUCGUACGGAAAAUGUUGGGUGCACUUCAAGAGCUGGCAACGAGCAGUGAGGAAGGAGAAACACUGAAUCGGAUUCCUCUCAAUACGAAAGGCAGCAAGACAGCAAUAUUUUGUGUAUCAAACAACUUCUUGAACUCCAUUUCCUUCAUCUAGCACAAUUGAUGAAAUAAUAAGUCAAUAACAAGCAGAGAGUCUCCUGUGAUAAUUUGAACAGUAAAACUAUCUUUCCUGUACAAAUAUAAAUAAGUCUUCUACAUGAAAUCAACAAUCAUGAAACCAAAGAAUAUAUGAGGGAUAACAAAAUAAAGCACAUGAGCGACUAAAAGUCCCUGGAAGAUCAUAUUAUUCAUACAAAUAUGAAAUAUUUCAAAGAAUUAGAUUGGUAAAAGUCGCCAUCAUGCGGGCUACAAUCUUAUAGAAUCAAAUUAUGCAUCAUUUUAAUUUAACAAAAGAAGAAUGUCCGGGGUAUAAUGAAAACAAUUAAAUAUUGCUAUUUUGAAUUUAAUUGGCAUAACUUAAAAGUAAGUUUUGGUACCAAAUCAUCUUGAAAUAACCACAGGUCAAAUGCAAAGUGUAUAUUAAUGAACAGAAGAAGCAAAGUGAUUGUAAAAGUCACUUGCUUCGCCCUUUCUUAGGUCCACUGCUUGGAAAUAAUACUAGUCUUCCAUUCAAAUUCAACCGCCAUAAUUGUUGGCAGGCUGUGCUCGGGUGACCAAAAGCAAGUAGUUUAGAUAUGGUUCAGCCUUAGAUAUAAGUUUAAGUACCUAAAAAAUAAUCAUUGAUAAACCCUUGCACAACCACUUUCUCUUAUCAUUUUUUUUUUUUAAAGUAACCCAAUUUGAUAAUAGGACUCAAAUUCACAAGAAUUCACUAUCAAAUCAAUAAAAAUAAUCAAAGCGGUUCAUAUGUUUUGACAUCAAAGUGCUAUAAAAUAAGCAAUACUUAUAAAGAAUCUAAUUUUAAAUAAAAAAAAUCUCAAAUAUUGUUUUUUAUCGUAUUUCUUUUUACUUUUUUCUUUUUUAAUUUAAAAUCAUACUUUUAAUCAAUUUGUUAACUAAUUCUAUUAUUUUCAAAUAAUUAAAAAAAUUUAUUAAUAGAAAUAAUUUGUACAUCUGAUUAGAUUCAACAGUACAUGUUACUUAUAGUUAAAAUAAAUGUUUCUGAGGUUGUUGCAUAAUUGUUUGAUAAUAUACCUCAAUGAAGGCAUUGGCGGGAACUCAUGAAUCCCUUGAAUUAAGCAAGCCAUCUGAUGUUUGAAUAUCAGUCGUUGGAUGGCUAGAAGCAUCCAAGGUCAGGAUUGGAUGGUAAUCAAGCUGAAGGAGCAAGAUAUCACAGCUUGUUAAAGACAAGACUGAGCAACUGAAGACAAGAAGACAAACUGCAGUGUCAGGUUGUUAUAACAACUUUUGUAAUGUCUUGUGAUGAAAUUGAUAGUCGUUGAUGCUAGGACUUGAUGUAACUAAAACAUGAGAACCUAGUUCUAUAUAAAGCAUUGUAAUGCAUUGAAUCCACUGGCUGGAAAAAAUAAAAUUGAUUCUUUAUUUUUGCUUGUGAAUUGUGUGAAAACUACUAGCCUCCUUUUUUUAUCUUGGUAUCAGAGCUUUAAAAAUCCAGAAAUGGAUAAUCAAACAACAAAUGAGCCAACCCCAGAAGCUGUAAUCAACAACACACCACCAGCUCAAACACAAAGUCCUUUACCCACCCAAACACAAACUGAAUCAUCAUCCUCACACACAAACAUGCAUGUACCCAUAAGUUUUUCCUUCACAGCCCCUGUGAAACUUGACAGAGGAAAUUACAUUAUAUGGAAAGCCUAGGUCUUGCCUGCUAUCCGUGGCAAUGGCCUGGAAAACUUUAUUGAUAGAACAUCUGUAUGUCCAGAAAAGUUCCUAGUGGAUGCUGAUGCAGAAAACAAUUUCAUAGCAUCUGCAAACCCUGCAUAUGCACUCUGGCGUAGACAAGACCAACUUCUCUUAAGUUGGCUUCUUUCUACAAUAUCAGAGAAUAUUAUCACUGUUGUGACACGUUGCACAACUUCACAAGAACUGUGGUCUGUGCUGGAAAGGCUUUAUGCCUCCCAAUCAAUAGCCAGAUCUAUAGUUAUCAAGAUGCAGUUGCAUGGUGCAAGAAAAGACACACAAACUAUCACUGAGUUUUGGACAAAAGUAAGAAACUUGGCAAAUGAGUUGCAAAUGGCAGGAAAGCCAGUUUCAGAAGAAGAUCUUUGCUCUCAUAUGCUUACUGGCCUUGGCCAAUCUUUUGAGUCCGUUGUUGUUAACCUCACUUCAAGACUUCAUGAACUGACCUUUGAUGAAAUGUAUUCUGUGUUGUUGAACCAUGAAGCCAAACUGGAGCAGAAUGCAACUCACGACAACAAUUUUAAAGCAAAUAUGGCCUCAAGGCAAGAAAUGAACAACUGGACCCAAAAGAGGAAUGAGAGACCAAGGAACCAACCACCAAACCAGUACCUUAGUCCACAAAAUCAAUACUUUGAACCUUCCAACAAUGGUGCUGGAAGACUAAAUAAAGGAAAAGGAAGGGGGAGACCACAUGGAGCAAAGAAGACGGUAUUCAAGCCUGGAGUUUUUUUGUCAAAUUUGCCACAAAGAGGGCCAUACAGCUGAUGAGUGUUGGUACAGAAAAGAAGAUGACUUUGAACCAAAGCCUGAAAACUAUCAACCAAGAGGAGCCUUUCUGGCAACAAAUGAAGAAAGCAAUGAACCAAGCUGGUACUUAGACAGUGAAGCAACUAAUCAUGUCACAAAUGACCUCAACAACCUCAGUGUAAGGUCUGAGUACAAAGGUAACUCCUUUCUCUUAAUUGGAAAUGGACACAAGCUUAAAAUCACACAUAGGAACGAUACAUUUGCCUAUAUAUGCUGGUAACAAAUAUGAACAUCUUGUGCUUAAAAUGGUAUUUGUAGUUCCACAAAUAACCAAAAACCUAUUAAGUAUCUCUAGCCUUACAACAGAUAACAAACUAACAAUUGUAUUUUCUGAUGAAACUUGUGUUGUUAAGGACAAAUUGGAGAAUAUUCUUCUUCAUGGAAUUGAUAUAGAAAGGUUGUUUCAGAUUGUUGGAAGUCAAGAAUAUGUAUGUCCGAGGAAGAGAUGUGCUGCUGAUAGAGUCUACAAAUCAGAGUCUUUGUUUGCUUCAAUAAGUGAGGCUUCUGUCUCAGAAAGUGUUGAUGAGUCUUUAAGUUCUAAGCCUAGUAGUGAGUCAAUUAAUCAACCUGACAUGUUACACAGAAGGUUUGGCCACCCUUGUGAACAGACCCUUAUAAAAAUCAUUUCAAGUUGUAAAAAUUUAUCUACUUUCAAUAAAGAAAAAUCUUUGAGUUUCUGCACUGCAUGCCAAUAUGGUAAAAAUCACAAAUUGACUCUUAAAAGCUCACAAACACAGACAAAGCAGCCAUUUGAACUGAUCCAUGCAGAUCUUUGGGGUCCAGCACCUAUAAUUUCAGGAAAAAGUUACAGGUACUACUUAAGUAUUGUUGAUAAUCACAUAAGAUACACAUGGAUUUACCCCUUAACCAACAAAGCAGAAAUAACACAAACCUUCAUUGACUUCAAGAAUCAAAUAGAGAAAACAUUAAAUAAACAGAUCAAGUGUUUACAGACUGAUAUGAGGGGGAGAAUUUAGACCAUUAACCGAGUUUCUUAGGAACAAUGGAAUCAUGUUCCGACAUUCCUGUCCAUAUACGUCAAUACAAAAUGGUCAAGUUGAAAGGAAGUAUAGGCACAUUGUAGAAAUAACACUCACCAUGCUAGCACAAACAAACAUGCCCUUAAAACUGUGGUGUAACGCCUUUGAAACUGCUGCAUAUUUUAUCAAUAGAAUGCCUACACAGGCCCUAGGUCAUAUCAGUCCAUACAAAAAAGUUUACAACAAUGAGCCUAAUUAUGCCUUCCUAAAAACUUUUGGGUGUGCCCGUUUUCCAUAUUUAAGACCCUAUAAUCAACAUAAACUUCAGUACCAUACCACUAAAUCUGUGUUUAUAGGGUAUAGCUUACAACAUAAAGGAUACAAAUGUCUAGAUAGCACAGGCAAAGUUUAUGUAGCUAGACAUGUGAUUUUCAAUGAGAAUGAGUUUCCUUUUGUUAUAGAUAAGAACUUUGAGACUAACAAAAGUGAAAGCAGGACAAGUAGUCAACCUAACUAUCAUCAGCUUCGAUUACUUCCUUGUGGCACUUUCUCAACUCCACAAUCAAACAACAAUCCAUACAAAACAUCCAAAGAGGGUGAACAUAACUCCACACAAGAUACAAUGCAAGCAUCAUUCGAAAAUCAAAUCAGAACACCAAACCAAGACCAGAUCCAAACACAUCAACCAAACACAGAAACAUAAUUGGAGAUAGUCAAUAUAGAACCUGAACGACCAUUAGAACCAUUAAACACACACCCUAUGGUAACCAGAUCCAAACAUGGAAUCUACAAGCCUAAAAUAUACCUUACACAAAGGAGUUCAUAUGAGUUACCAACAAAUAUAGUAAGUGCUAUCAGGAAUGUGAAAUGAAGAAAUGCUAUGUUGGAUGAAUACAAAGCUCUACUGGAAAACAAAACUUGGGAAUUGGUGAAAGUUCAAGAGGGUACAAAGGUCAUCGGAAACAAAUGGGUGUACAAAGUAAAACACAAUCUAGAUGGGACAGUAGCGAGACACAAGGGAGAUUAGUGGCCAAAGGCUAUAACCAAACAGCAGAGGUUGAUUACACAGAAACCUUCAGUCCAGUGGCCAAGUCAUCCACAAUCAAGGUACUCUUGAGUUUGGCUGUCAACUAUGGUUGGGACAUCAAACAAGUAGAUGUCAACAAUGCCUUUUUUAAUAGAGAACUAAAUGAAACCGUGUUCAUGGAGCAACCAGAAGGAUUCAAAGUGAAAGGAAAGGAAAACUAUGUAUGUAGACUAAAGAAAGCACUCUAUGGAUUGAAACAAGCUCCAAGGGCUUGGUAUGAAAAGCUCAAAGCUGCCCUACUCAACUGGGGAUACAAGAACUCAGUCUCGGAUACCUCACUGUUUCAUUGGAGGGAUAAUAAAGAAGUCAUAUACGUACUUGUGUAUGUAGAUGACAUACUCAUAACUGGUAGUAGCCAAGAUCCUGUCAAUGACCUGAUUAAAAAACUUAAUGAGAGUUUCGCGUUGAAGGAGCUAGACUCAUUAAGUUAUUUUCUUGGAAUUAAAGUAAAAAAGGACCGUGCAGGGAUGCAUAUUUGCCAAAGCAAGUAUGUGCAAGAACUUCUAGAGAAGACAAACAUGAAAGGGUGCAAAGAAAGCAUAACCCCAUUAAGUUCAAGUGUGAAGUACACCUUGGAGACUGAAGAAGAAGAGAGAGGACAACUUUUUGAAGACAAAACUCUCUACAGUAGUGUCAUUGAAGCUUUGCAGUAUGCAACCAUCACCCGGCCAGACAUUGCUUACAGCGUCAAUAAACUAAGUCAAUUCAUGCAAGAAUCGAAAGUGAUACACUAGCAAGGCUGCAAAAGGAUCUUGAGAUACCUUCAAGGCACCCUAAAUUAUGGUCUGUACUUCACACCUGGAAACAAAAUGGAAAUCUCAACCUUUACAGAUGCUGAUUGGGGAGCUGAUAGAGAUGACAGAAAGUCUACAGGUGGUUAUUGCAUCUUUUUGGCAGGAAAUCUAGUCUCCUGGAGUUCAAAGAAGCAGAAGGUAGUAUCAACCUCCAGCACAGAAGCAGAAUAUAGAUCACUGUCAAAUGGAGCAACUGAAUUGACUUGGUUACAAUCCUUACUUGCAGAGAUGAACAUCAAGUUGGAGAAGAGGCCAAUAAUAUGGUGUGACAACAAGAGUGCAAUAGCUCUUGCUGAAAAUCCAAUCUUUCAUGGAAGAACCAAACACAUUGAAAUAGAUGUUCACUUCGUGAGGAAUAAAAUCAGCAACCGAGAGUUUGAUUUGAAGUAUGUGGAAAGCAAGAACCAAGUUGCAAAUAUAAUGACCAAGGCACUACCUAAUCGAAGUUUCGAAUAUCUAAGAAGCAAGCUCAAUGUCUUAGCAUAUGAUUGAGCUUGAGAGGGGGAGUUAAAAUAAAUGUGUCUGAGGUUGCUGCACAAUUGUUUGAUAAUAUACCUGAAUGAAGGCAUUGGCGGGAACUCAUGAAUCCCUUGAAUUGAGCAAGCAAUCUGAUGUUUGAAUAUCAGUCGUUGGAUGGCUAAAAGCAUCAAAGGUCAGGAUUGGAUGGUAAUCAAGCUGAAGGAGCAAGAUAUCACAGCUUGUUAAAGACAAGACUAAGCAACUGAAGACAAGAAGACAAACUGAAGUGUUAGGUUGUUAUAACAACUUUUGUAAUGACUUGUGAUGAAAUUGAUAGCCGAUGAUGCUAGGACUUGAUGUAACUAAAACAUGAGAACCUAGUUCUAUAUAAAGCAUUGUAAUGCAUUGAAUCCAUAGGGUGGAAAAAAUAAAAUCGAUUCUUCAUUUUUGCUUGUGAAUUGUGUGAAAACUACUAGCCUCUUUUUUUAUCUCUUAUAUCAUUGAUGUUGGUAAAAAAAAAAAAAAAUUACAAGAGAGUUAGUUGAUAGGGUAAUAAAUAUUAGGAAUAAGGACCAAGGACGGUGAGCAGCUGAAUGAAAAAUGGCUGCUCAUGGGCUGCAUGCAAACUGCCAAGCGGCUGAGCGGGUGAUCAUCUUUUCUUUUGCAGCACUGCUCAACUCAUACCAGUCUCAUUUUUUAUAUUUUAUGCUUGAAUCGAAUGGAUACAACACAAUCAUACAAUACAAGAAAUCAAGAACUGCUAUUGGCUUAUACGUACAAUCGGUAUUGAUAUUAUCAAACUUCCAUUACAUCGGAUCGGAUCGUAUUUAUUAUCAUAUGAUCUGUUAUAUCCGAUUAUCUCGAUCAUUCUAAUUCAUUUUAUAUUUCUAAGUCAACCACAACGUAUUAUUUUCAGCUCGCCAUUGAGGUGCUGCAACCCUAAGCCUUAUGUAUAAUCUCUCGAUUGAAUACAAAAACAGCUGUUCGAUUUAAAUGUGACUUCUUGGUGGAUCCCGUUAUGGACGCAGCAUCAUAAAUUACACAUACCUGACGAUGAUUACAUCAGUGAAGCUAUAUAUAAUCCUUUACCCCAAACACAAGAAGAAAGAAAAUUUAAGUGAUCCUUAUUUCUUACUCAAUAUAAUUAAUUUUUAUUAAUUAAACUUGUCCGAUGAGUUAACUGACAGUUAAUACUUUUUUGUUUUUUCUGCUUUACUGGGUUUGUCUUCUUCGGCUCUUCUGGCACUUGCGAUUCAUCUGCCGAUCAUUAUAAUAAAAGCUUAGUCAUUUAUGCCUUUUUGAUUAAAAAAUUUAUUAUUUGCAAUCUAUAUGAUUGUAAAAUCAAAGCAUAGUGAAACUUCUGAACAUUAAAAGCUGCAUUUUGUAUGCGAGCUUGUAGAAAUUAAAUAACGAAUAUUAUGCAAGUUUAAGCAGCCAUUACUGAUCUAUAAUUUUACUUGUGUGUGGAAAUGUGGAUCAAUUAAUGUGGGCUUAAAUAAAAAUCAAUGAUUUUUUGUUGAAAUAAUUUUUUUCCGAUAAGUACAUUGAAGAUCAAUUAUUGCAUAUGUGUUUAAGCAAAACACAAAGUUCUUCAACUUCAAGUUAUAUGAUUUAACUGGAAUUCUUUGACAAAUGCAUGAAAAUAUUUGUUUAUAGAUUGGGAGUGAAAGAGUUUAUGAGAAGCUGAAACAAAACACAAAGUAAGAGAUAAGUGAAAAUAAAAAUAAAAAUAAAAAUAAAAAUGGUGGAAGAAUAAGCAAAUAAGUAGGAGAGAGAAAUGUCAAUUAAGAAUUAUUAAUUAUAUACCAUUAGUAAAUUUUUAUUAAAAAAUUUAUGUUAAUGUGAUAUAAUCUAUACCAAAUUUAGUAAAAAAAAGGUAUGAUGUACUGCAUCAAAUAAUUCAACCGACCUCGAUCGCCAGUAAAUACCUGUUACUACUCACUUGCGUCUCAACCAGGGAAGGGUUAAUGCCAUGUCAGUAAUCAACUGAGGGAUGCGUACUGAAAGAUGAUUUGGUCAAGAAUCAAGCCCAUGAAAACAUAAAAAUAAUACUAUAUUUACUUAAUUAGAAUAUUUAAUUUAUAUCUCGAUUAAAAUAAUAAAUAUUAUUUAAUUAGUUAAAGUAGUAGUUAAUCAAAAUAUAAUAUCUAACCUUCUAUAAAAGGACCAAAAUGCGGGACAGAGGAAUUACAUUUGCAGUUCCAUAUAUAAAAAGCUCAAUUACAUUAUCUAGAAAGUUAUCAUCUCCAGAGUUUUAAUUUAUUUCAUGCGUUGGAGCAAAUUUGACAUUCGCUUAGAUUUGGAAAUUUCUACUAUUAAUUUUACGCCAAAAACGAUUGAUAAAUUUUACACGACUUACCCAUCAAAUGAACCCAUUAUUUAACUUUGUCGGAAUUUAAUUAUAUUACGAUAAAUAAUAAACUUGAGUUUUCAAUUUUUAGGGUUUAAAAGAAGGAACCCUAAGGCUAAUUCUAGCUCUGAUUUAAUAUCGAUAACCCUAGUAUAAUAUUUUCUUUUCUCCUUGCCAUGUCGUUUUCUGAUUAAGUUUUCUAAGGUGUCAGAACAGAGAAAAGAUAAACAAAUAAAAACAGAGCACAUAUAAUAAAUACACAACCUAGUUUCUAGACUCCGACGAUAAUUCGAAACCGAAAACGAAAGUGGCAAAAGCGAAAAUAGCGUUUCGUUUCUUUAUUUAUUUUAGGAAAAUUAUUAUUUUAUACCCUAUAUUUGUUUCGUUGUCAAAAAUAAUAUCAAUAGUUCAUUUUAAGCUGAGAAAAUAUAUUUACUGACUACUAAAUCAUUAGUUAUCAUUUGAAAGUUAAUAUAAUUACAACGAAUUGACGAUUUUACUCUUGAAACUUAAAUUAAAAUAAAAAAAUUUAUCACUUAUAUAUUUUUAAAUUUUUUUAUUAUCAUUUGUGUACUUUUAAAUUAUCACUUCAAUAUCUUUAAAUUAUCUUAUUAUCACUUAUUUUAUGUGGAAAAAUUAAAUUAUCCCUCUAAUGUCAUCAUAUUUAAACGGUAACUAACAGUUUAGUAAAUAAUAGAUAUAUUUUAUCAAUUUAAAAUAAAUAAUUAAUACACUCUUAAGAUAUUAUAGUAUUUUUAAUAACGGAAAAAAUUAAGGUUCCUUUAUUUUAUUUUCACUUUUCUUGUGAAACGCAGGAACUUCAACGUUAAAAAUUAUUGUAACGUACAAUAUUCUUUCUUUAUCCACAAAGAGCUCGAAAUUUUAUCACUUGCCAUUACUUUUUCGUUGGGCCCAUACCAAUCAUUCAUCUUAUUUACCAUUUACCAACAGUUUUAGUAAAUAUCAUUAAUUUCCCAAACCAAAGAAUCAACGUACUAUUUAAUUUAAUUUUAAAAAAUAAAGACGAGAGGUUCAGUAACCAAAGAAACAUCGGAAACUUCUACAUUGCCUCGCUACAUGUGCAAAAUUCCGGAGCCCACUCGCACGGUCUCACCUCUGCAUGUGAAUCUCUGAGCCACUUGUUCACAACGAUCACUUGGGAUUUAAUCACCUUGUAUUCCUAAUUAUCCUUUUAAAAUCCUCCACCAGUAUAAUUUUUCCCUAGUAAGUAAAAUAACAUAUGGAACCCACUUAUUAGUCACUCUUUUUCUACACACAACACAUGUGGACAGACCUUUAAGUCUCCUUGAAUAAUAUAUACACACACAUUAUGGAGUCAAUUUGAGAUGUUAGAAGUUGUCUACACAUUUGACAUUGAAUAUCAGUAUUGUGAAUAUCAUUAGACUUUAAUAUUAGAUUUAAAAUUUUAAAAAAAAAAAUCAACAAUUUUUAUUUUGACCUCAACCAAACGCUAAAACAAAUUAACGAAUCAAUCUUGCAUUAUCUCAUUAUCUCUCUUUUGCAUUAUGUUUGUGUCUACCUCACAGCAUAAUGCAUAAUAAUAAUAGCCCCACCACCAUAUUAUAAAAUAAAAAUUUUAUCACAAAAAACCGCAGAGAAUCACGGGUUAAAACCCCUAUAAAUUCCCCCAAUCGGAGAUCGUUUUCACCACCUCUCUCGAUCUCUACCACAUUCUCUCUCUCACUCUCUCACUCUCCCCCUAGUUGGCUGGCCAUCUUCUUUACUAGAGAUAAAAGAAGACUGAAAAACAAAAAAAACAAAAUGGGUAAAGCUUUACUGAUUGUUGUUCAUGUUUGUUUGGUCUUAGCCGGCUGCAGCUUCACUGUGUAUGGUGAACAGGUUUACACUGAGAGUUCCAUGGCUAUGCCACCAUCACACUACCACACGAUAACCCCGGCAACGGCACCAAGCCCCCACCAUCACCACCACCACCACCACAGCCACCCUCCUACUGCCCCACCGGCUCACGCCCCAAGCCACCACCAUCAUCACCACCACCCCCACCCGCCGGCUCAUGCACCGGCUCACACUCCCGCUCAUGCACCUGCUCACCCACCUUCACACGUUGCUCCUGCCCACCCACCUCCACCACACGUUGCUCCUGCUCACCCACCUCCACCGCACGUUGCUCCUGCUCACCCACCUCCACCGCACGUUGCUCCUGCUCACCCACCCACACCCACCCAUCGUUUCCCUAGGAGCCUUGUUGAAGUUCAAGGCGUCGUUUAUUGCAAGUCUUGCAAGUACGCCGGAGCUGAUACCCUCCUAGGAGCUACCGCUGUUCUCGGUCAGUUUCGAACUCUUUCAAUUUAACUUUCCCUGCUUCUAACUUUUACAUACUUCGUUUUUUCUAUCAUUAUUACUUCAAUUAAUUUCACAUGUAUGUUUAGUUAUACAUCAUGCAUACAUAACAUACGUAUGGAUGCGAAUGUGCAUUUGUUUUCAUGGAUGCGGUAUGUAUACAUUUCCAGAUUUUGAAUGGAGAGAGAGAGAGAGAGAGAGGUGCUCUUGAUCUCUUUCUUUCUCUUUGUUCUAGGUUUAUGUCACAUUCAGUAGGAGGCAUGGUUAUGGCAGCAUAGCUAGCUACUUUUUCCUUUUUCAAGCUCUCUUUUUUAAGUCCUAGUAUUUAAAUUUUUAUUUAUUCUUUUAAUAUUGCCCAUGGGUUCAAUCAAGCUGAAAAAACAAAUCUUGCUUUACUCAUUCUCAAGCCACAAGAGUAUUGAGUUAAAAAAGAAAAAGAAAAAAUGACCAC